AGUAAGUUAAAAUAGGUGGAAAUUGACCCGUCAGGCUCAUAACCCGAAGGUCACUGGUUCGAGUCCAGUCCCCGCUACAA
rnacentral:tRNA from 1 species